AUAAAACAACCCCUGCUAUGAACCUCUAUUCCGAUAUGUAGCUAGGGGGAGCAACUCCUACUCGUUUGCAUGAGACUUUCUGGUUUUCCUACUGAAAAAUUCUGUGUCUCAGAGUCCUCCCCCUCAUCCCCAAGACCCAGACAAACCGGGUUGGUUGGCCCUCCUCUAAACUUGGAUGUAAAUUAUGAGCUUAUCUUGUUUUUCACAGACCUAACACAGGGCUUUGAGCAUAAUGUUUACUCAGAAAUAUUUUUGAUUAAUUUCAACCACAUGCAUUUGUGUCACUGUUUUUUUAAGCAGCCAUUUUCACAAGAGAUUUUCUGUGAAUUCAUCGUAAGGUCCAAGCACUGUCAUAAUUAGACAAAAUGGUCUGUCAGUUCCUGGCAACCUAGACAUGAAGAGAAGAGGAGACGCUCGGAGCCAAAAUGUUAAUAGCUUUGAAAAAUACGGUAGAGCCAGGAAAAUCUAUGCAAACUGAAUCUAGGCGAACGGCUUAUCUGUGACUACCUAGAAAUACUUGAGUAGGGCUGAAGUUCAGGGCCAAUUAAUACAGCUGAUUAACAUCUGUUCUACCACCUUCCUCCUUGGUAGUAAUGAUAGGGCUGUGAAUCUGCUUUUUUUCCUUUUCAAAUAUAUUACAUUAAACAUUACUUUGAAUCCCCAUGGGGGAAGCAAAUAUCAUUCUGUAAGCUGUAAGGAAUUAUGGAGUUUAUCACUGUUAAUAUAAAAAGCAAAGCCAAAGUCAACAUUUUUAAUCAAAAGCUGACAUCAGGUCAGGGCUUGAACUUGGCUCUUGAGAAAAGCAAGCAAUCAAGACUAAGCAAUAGUGUUCCAGGCAGAGGAAAGAGCGUGUGUAAAGACUUAGAAGUGAGAGACCACAAAGUGUAUUUAAGAAGCUUAAGAGUUUAUUUUGUUGGAGACCGAAUUUGAGAAGAGGCUAGAUAGUGACAGACCAGUGAUGAAGAAGGAGGGCAGUGGAUUCGGAUCCCAGAGGGUCUCACAAACAAGGUCAUGACGUUUGGACGUGAUUCGAAGAGCAAUGGAGAGACAUCAAAGCAUUUCAGAAGGGAAACGGAUGUCGGCUUUUCAUUUUCUGAUAAAUCACUCGAAUAACAAAAGGGGAGAGUGUACUGUUAAUGGGUCGAGUUAGAGGCAGAGUUCGGCCCUGAUUGAAUACAGGGCAGUGACGCUGGAGAGAAGGAGGCUGGAGAGACAUUGAAGAAGUAGGAGACACGUCUGUCACUUGACAACUGAGUGGAUGUGGGACGGGCACGAGGUGGCAAAAAGGACUGAAAUUGACAUUCAAGGGUUUGGCCUCAGCAAUCAGAAGACCUGGUGCUCUUCACAGGUAUGGGUUGGGUGGUGGUGAGGGAGAUGAUGAAUUCUGCUGCUAAACGGACAACAUCUUAAAAGGAACACCAGUUUAGAGUGUGACGUUUAUCAUCUCCGUAGAUACUUCUAUUCAAGGAGCACAGCCCACAUUCAAACGGUUUCAAAACAAAGGUUUCCAUUCAUGCAAAAUAAAGAAGGCAGAAAUUAAAUGGAGAAAAGGUUUAAUUUGUACUACGUCUAGGCUUUCGGUGAUAAGAUGCUCUGUGUGCUAGGGCAGCUUUUUUUCCCUGUAAACUUCCUUGCAGGUCAAAAGCCAAAAUACCAUGGAGCAGUUUCAAAAGCCAUUUGCUAAACAUAGGCCAGGGUGGGGCCCAUGCAUGAAUUCGUGAGAAUCCAAGGAAAGUCAGAGGAAAAUAGUAUCCAAAAGGAGAGUUGUAAAUCUGACUACAUAAGAAUCCCAGAGCAUAUAUGGUUGAUAAGGUACCGGCUCAAUGAAACUGUCAAAGAACCAGAUGCUCUCAGAGCUUAACAUGGGGGAAAAAGAGUCUUGCAUUUUAUUUCAAGACUCCAGGCCUAGAAACAAACAGUAAAACCUUUGUGUUGCAGCAAUAUAAGAAAAUCUUGUACAAAAUUUAAACUUGUAGAGCAGAUAUUGUAUUUGUUGUUUGUUUGUUGUGUUUUUUGUUUGGUUUGGUUUGGGCUUUUUUGUGGCUGUGCUCCCAACAUAUGGAAGUUCCCUGGCCAGGGGUUGAAUCCAAGCCACAGCUGGAACCAACUACGUCACAACCGUGGCAAUGCUCGAUCCUUAGGCCACUGCACCGGGCUGGAGAUCAAACUCACACCACCAAAGAGAUAACGUUGGAUCCCUAACUCUCUGGGCCACAGCGGGAACUCCUAGAGCAGAUAUUUUUGAUGCUUCACCCAUGACCUUGACCUUCAACUCUGCCUGCUGAAGGCUGCCUACCAGGAACACCCAUAAAUCUCUGCCUCGGGGCUUUUUUCUGGCUGAAGGAACAAGACUUCCUUGCACAGGGCAAGCUGGAAAUACCAGCAAGUUAAUGCCCCUGGAAGCAACCUUUGCUGAAGACAAAUGAGGUGUUGAGAGGCAAAUAUAUCCAUCUCCUAGGCCCCCGGUGGGGAUAAGUUUGAGGGGUGUUGUACUGUCUCCCAGUCUUCUGGCAGGAUCGAGUCCAGUUAUGGGCAGUGGGGAGCAUUUAAGCGCAUGCUGUUUAUUGUUCCCAGGACACUAGUAGAGGAGCAGGAAGGGAGGUAAGAAAGGGAAGGUACUCAACAGCGCAGAGUAGCCUUGUGGGUAACUUGGGUUUGAUCCCACUGGGGACUUUAGAACGGCAGUGUAGAAUAUGCCUCAGGGUUAUUCCAACAACGCUAAGGACGCUGGUGUGUGUAUAUGUGCUAAUGUCCAUCAGUCACUAAGCGAAGGGCUGAUCCUGGCAGAUGUGGAUGGCGUGGCCUUUCCCGUCUGCACCACGCAGAGGCCAGCCACCCUCUGGUCGCCAAAGCAGAGCGCACGUGCUGGCAGACGGAAGGACAGGGCUUCGGGGGCACUCACACCGUCUGCUACCGAGACGGGCAAGCCCCACAGACUGGAACUGAUGGAGGUCCAUUCUGAAGGACAAGCAGGUGCUAGUAGGGUUUCAGGGAGGGCUGUGGGAGCGACACGGCAGGAGGCGGGAGGAGUGCCCUUAGGUGGGAGGCUGUGGGACUUAUCUGGGAGAGAAUCGGUGCCGCUUUGAUGCCAGGAAGAGAAAGCAGAGCGGGCGGGAGAUGAAAUAAAGAGGGCAGGAUGAAUAAUGUGAAGGCAAAGAAGCCUGGAAAGACGGCCAUUCUUAGACGUCUGCCGCAAGAGACCAGAUGAAGGUACUGCUCUUUAUGCCGGGGACACAGAGGGACAGAUUCCUUAACGCUCGGGAGCAAGCAUCCUAAUUUAACCUUCUAACAUGCUGAGUUUGAGGCCUCUGGAGAAUCCAAGGGAGUGUUACUGGCCAGGAACACAGAAGCCAUCUGUGCUGAACGUAGAGAUUUGAUACCAUCAGAAUAUAUGAAACGAAAUCAAUUAUACCAUGCCAGUCCCUAAAGAUAUGUAGAGAUGGAUACGGAAGGAAGAAGUCCCUUCCCUCUUGGAGCCUUUAGGACACCAGCCAUAGACGUUGGCAGAAACCACAGCGUCUAGGGAGAGUGCCGACACUGGGAAAAGAAGAAUUCUGAACAAUCCCAAUAUCUGAGGAACAAUGACAGAAUGAAAGAAUUUGAAAUAAACCAAGAACAAAUGUCCAGUGGAACAGAAACAAAUACAAAGAAGAUAAAGACUCCAAAGAAUCUACCAUAACCACGUCGUUUUUGCCGGUCAGAGUGGUGCUGUGUGUAUUGAGCUGGCUGGGGUCAGGGGAGGUUGCCAAGCAAAAAAUGUAAAUACAGUGAGUUCAAAAGCUGAUUAAAGAUCAAAAAAGAACUGUAGAUAUUUAUUUCAUAGAUGUGGACAUCAUAAAUAUUCCCUAUCAGUAGUCAUUUUGCUGUAACAUGAAAAUGCAACUGAUACUUACAAAAAGUCUAAUCUUGAAGCUUUCAUAAAUAUUUCUAACUUGUUCCUUAGAUUAUGACAUAUCACCAGAAGAAAAGCACUACCUCAUAUUAGUACAGUGUUUUAAAGCUUAUCAAACAAAAUAUAUGUCUGGUUAUCUGCCAGGAUUCUUGGUUGCAAACAACAGACAUCUGACUCUAACUUAAAAAGCAAAGGAAUAUGUUGCAAUAAACUGGGAGAAUACCAGUUUUCUGGGGAGUCAAGCUUGAAAAAGGCACAGGAAUGAAGGGAGGCUAGGUAACAAAAAUGUCUAUCCUGGAAACGUGACGGUGUCACAGUGCCUGUGCAAUGUCCCUGCCACAGGACCCAGUGUACCUCCGACCACUUAUCUCCAAGCCUGUUCGGCGCUGCAUCACUCGCUCAAGGGAACAGCUCAGGUAGAAGGAUCUGAUUGGCUGAGUCUAGGUCACAUGCCCUUGCUAUGCCUACCUGGGGGUGGGAGAGGGACUAUCUGUCCCUUCAGUCUCCCACAGAGGAAGGUGGGAAUCUGCUUUACUUCGUGACUCACAUAAUGGGUAUUGCCAAAUCAAGGAAAGGGAUGCUAGGGUGGCAUAGUCCACUGUCUACAACCUUCAGGUUUGCUUAUGUGCCAGCUCUAUGCUCAGUCUCUGCACUUACCGUCUUCUUUGAGCUUUACUAUGCAGUCAAUUACCACUGUCCCCAUUUAACAUUCAAGGAGACUGAGAAUCAGAGCAGUCAUGUGCAAGCAUUAGCACCAGGAUUCAAAUCUGACUCUUCUGGCAUCUAGUAGCAAAAAUUCCCACUGAGCAGGGUCAACUCAAGCCACCUGAGGGCUUAGGAACUCACAUUUGCCCAGAAAAUCAGGAUGCAUGUAAGAUCAAAGAGCAAUAUGCAUUGAAACUUCCCAAAGAUCGAGAGGCACUCAACUGGCGCGACUGACUUUAUGGCCCAAGUCAUCGAGAUUGUCAUUAUGCACAUUCACUGGAGACUUGACUGGGGCUCUGGGCUCAAGAAAUGACCAAAAAUAUGAUCUUGGAUCUGAAAUACGGAGUGGAGUUCCUGCCCUGAAAUUUAAUACCCAAGUUGUCCAGUCCAUGCCACUGGUAGUGACUAUCGAAGCAACAUUUAGACUCUGAGCAGAAAUUGUGAAGUUCCUAAAUCAGUUCUCAGGUAACUUAAUCCCAAAGAGUGUAAUUUUUAUUCUGGGAAAUGGCAAAUGCUCCUCAGACGAAGAGGAUCUAUAGAUGAGCUCAUUCUAGUCCUGUUUUAACUGAGCAAACUUCAACAUGAAAGUCUUUUUGUUUCUCACACACAAAAAAAGGCACAAAAGAAUAUUCUGGGGUGCGUCUUCCCUCAGCCACGUGCUAUUUUGGUUACAAAUACAUCAAUCAGACUUGAAACAUCAAACGGCCAACAGUGUCUGCAACUCUAAUACUAGAUGUUACUUGGUUUAUUAACAGAACAUCUUUAGUCCUUAUUUGUGUAGUGUGGAAAGAGGAAUGACAUCUUUGAAUACAGUUUACCGAGAAAAAUAAUGCAAUUUGUACUUAGAGAAAAAAGCAGAAUUGUGGGUAGAGGACUUAAGUGUAUACAUAAAGAACUAAAUCUUCUUAAAGGUACUUUUCUAGCCUGUAUACAUACUGUCUUAGUCAGUUCUGGCUGCUAUUACAAAAUGCCACAAAUUGGGUGGCUUAUAAACAGCGAAGAUAUAUUUCCUCACAGGCACUAAUCCGAUUCGUCUGCCCUCAAUGACCCAGAAAGACUGCACCUCCCGAUAUGACCAUUUGGGGGGCAGGAUUUCAACAUGAGGGUUGAGGGGAGGAGGGAACAUCAACAUUUAGUCCAUUGCGUAUAUGCUUUAUCAUAUUCCUCUGAUUUAACAAGAUGAAAGAGUAUGAUAAGUCAAAUGGAAAUGAAAAAUAUUCACGAUUUUUCAAUGGGUGAAGCCACUAAAAAUACUAACCUAAAUCAUGGAGCUGCAGCUAUACUUUCAGCAGUGAGCAGCCUCCAUCGAGUCUUGUGAAUGAGAUAGGUUCCCAUCCUGGAAAGCAGCACUGAGAUUGUCUGGCCCAUCCUGUUGGGAGUGGCUCUCAAGCAGCCUUUAAAACUGAGCAGAAGUUGUGAAACUCCUACAUCAGCUCUCAAGCAAUUCGAUCCAUUGAUUUAAGAAAUUCUUUUAUCCCGGGAAGCAGCAAAUGCAAUUCAGAUUCAGAGGAUCUAUGCCAAUGAGCAUCUGAUGUGAAAGCUGUCCGCCUCUGACUGAGUCACAGGUUGGGGAAGCUUGCUUAAGAGUACAACGUUCAUUUCCCAUGUUUUGUAACAUCUCCCUAUUCCCCAACAUGAGAUUAAAAUCAAGAAAAAAAAAAUGUUUUCCUUGAACGCUUUUUCAACUUCUUACUUUGGAUCAGCUACUCUGGCUGCCAACCAAAGUGCGUCUAUGUUAAAAGAACGCUAACCAAGUGGGAUGUGUGUGAUCAUCUCCUAAGCUUCACAGGGUGACAGCAGGAACGAGAGGUCCAGAGUUGUUCAGCUACUACUCUUGACACCUGAAACCCCCACACAGAGCCCCCUCCGCAUGAAGGGACAGUGGAGGACGCUGGUGUCAAAUAAGGACC
rnacentral:lncRNA from 1 species